rnacentral:rRNA from 1 species
GACCGAGGAUGCAAGCGUUAUCCGGAAUGAUUGGGCGUAAAGCGUCCGCAGGUGGCAGUUCAAGUCUGCUGUCAAAGACCGGGGCUUAACUUCGGAAAGGCAGUGGAAACUGAACAGCUAGAGUAUGGUAGGGGCAGAGGGAAUUCCUGGUGUAGCGGUGAAAUGCGUAGAGAUCAGGAAGAACAUCGGUGGCGAAGGCGCUCUGCUGGACCAUAACUGACACUCAGGGACGAAAGCUAGGGGAGCGUAUGGG